GCAGAACGCGAAGAACCUUACCUAGGUUUGACAUACAAGUGGUAGGAAGCCGAAAGGUGACUGACUCUUCGGAGAGCUUGUACAGGUGCUGCAUGGUUGUCGUCAGCUCGUGCCGUGAGGUGUUCGGUUAAGUCCGCAAACGAGCGCAACCCUUAUCGUUAGUUACAAGUGUCUAGCGAGACUGCCCGUGGCAAACGGGAGGAAGGUGGGGAUGACGUCAAAUCAGCAUGGCCUUUAUAUCUAGGGCUACACACACGCUACAAUGGCGCGUACAAUGGGCAGCGAAGCCGCGAGGUGGAGCCAAUCCCGAAAGCGCGUCUCAGUUCGGAUUGUAGGCUGCAACUCGCCUGCAUGAAGUCGGAGUUGCUAGUAACCGUGUAUCAGCACGGCACGGUGAAUACGUUCCCGGGUCUUGUACACACCG
rnacentral:rRNA from 1 species